rnacentral:piRNA from 1 species
UAACAGUACAAGGGACUACUUGGAAAGUA